GACAGAGGUGCCAAGCGUUAGGCGGAAUCACUGGGCUUAAAGCGUGUGUAGGCGGAAUUGUAAGUACCUUGUGAAAUCCCACAGCUCAACUGUGGAACUGCUCGGUAUACUGCUUUUCUUGAGCCACUUAGGGGCUGUCGGAACAAACGGUGGAGCGGUGAAAUGCGUAGAUAUCAGGAGGAACACCGGCGGCGAAGGCGGCCCUCUGGAUCGUUGCUGACGCUGAUACGCGAAAGCGUGGGGAGCAAACAGG
rnacentral:rRNA from 1 species